rnacentral:rRNA from 1 species
CUACGUGCCAGCAGCCGCGGUAAUACGGAGGGUGCGAGCGUUAAUCGGAAUAACUGGGCGUAAAGGGCACGCAGGCGGCUAUUUAAGUGAGGUGUGAAAUCCCCGGGCUUAACCUGGGAAUUGCAUUUCAGACUGGGUAGCUAGAGUACUUUAGGGAGGGGUAGAAUUCCACGUGUAGCGGUGAAAUGCGUAGAGAUGUGGAGGAAUACCGAAGGCGAAGGCAGCCCCUUGGGGAUGUACUGACGCUGAUGUGCGAAAGCGUGGGGAGCAAACAGGAUUAGAUACCCUGGUAGUCCACGCUGUAAACGGUGUCGAUUUGGGGAUUGGGGUUUAGCCCUGGUGCCCGAAGCUAACGUGAUAAAUCGACCGCCUGGGGAGUACGGCCGCAAGGUUAAAACUCAAAUGAAUUGACGGGGGCCCGCACAAGCGGUGGAGCAUGUGGUUUAAUUCGAUGCAACGCGAAGAACCUUACCUACUCUU